UGGGGAAUUGUUCGCAAUGGGCGCAAGCCUGACGACGCAACGCCGCGUGAAGGAUGAAGGUCUUCGGAUUGUAAACUUCUGUUGCCUGGAAAGAAUGACCCUGACCUAAUACGUCAGGGUGUGACGGUACCAGGUGAGGAAGCCCCGGCUAACUCUGUGCCAGCAGCCGCGGUAAUACAGAGGGGGCGAGCGUUGUUCGGAAUUACUGGGCGUAAAGGGCGCGUAGGCGGCCUGUUAAGUCGAACGUGAAAUCCCCGGGCUCAACCCGGGAACUGCGCUCGAGACUGGCAGGCUUGAAUCCGGGAGAGGGAUGUGGAAUUCCAGGUGUAGCGGUGAAAUGCGUAGAUAUCUGGAGGAACACCGGUGGCGAAGGCGACAUCCUGGACCGGCAUUGACGCUGAGGCGCGAAAGCCAGGGGAGCAAACGGGAUUAGAUACCCCCGUAGUCC
rnacentral:rRNA from 1 species